UUUCGACAGAUUUCGUAUAUGAAGAUGGUCAUCGGCUUGGUGGCAGCUGCAAAAACAGCCGAACUCGCCGCUGCUGGUUACUCUUGGCAAUGCAUGAACCAGCUGCAAGGAGAACCCAUUGUUCCGGAUCACCUAUACGUGGACAUCAAACCAAAAAGUCUGAUUCACCAGCAUCAAGCGUAGGCCAUCCUGAAUAACAGCCUGGAUCUAAGAAGCAAGCGCUGAAAGAAAGCCAUCUCUGUGAGGUUUAUUUAGCUACGUAAUUGCUGCAUUCAUGGACUUUAAUCAGACUAUGAAAUGUAAGUGACUGGAUCACCGAUGAUUAAUCGCACCACCUAAACGGAGCACGAGCUUCGAAAGCAUUGUUCAAGGCAAAAUUGUGCCACGAUUCUAUUUUUUUAUUUUAAAUAUCGAAUAUGGCAACCUUAAGCUUUAAUAAACAUUCAAAAUAUUUUGUCUUCAAUGAAAAUUAUUUCUUAAAUUGAAUAAGUCACAAUGAAACAAGAAAUAAGUGUAGUAUAAAUUCAAUUCCAACAGAAUUUUGUCUACACUUAUUUUCUUCUUUCAUUGUUUCGUAUUAAAUUUAUUGAUCAAUUAUUCUUUAA